rnacentral:rRNA from 1 species
CUAGCCGUAAACGAUGGAUACUAGGCGUUGAGAGGAUCGACCCUCGCAGUGCCGUAGCUAACGCGCUAAGUAUCCCGCCUGGGGAGUACGCGCGCAAGCGUGAAACUCAAAGGAAUUGACGGGGGCCCGCACAAGCGGUGGAGUAUGUGGUUUAAUUCGAUGCAACGCGAAGAACCUUACCAGGGCUUGACAUGUCCGGAACCCUGCCCAAAGGUGGGGGUGCCUACGGGAGCUGGAACACAGGUGGUGC